UCGGCGAGGCCGAGCGGGUCGAAGUACUGGCCGCCGGGGUAGAGGUCGUUGCCGUCGCCGACGCCGGGGAGGCCGUUGAUGCGGUAGCCCUCGACGAGGCCCAUGAGGACGACCUGGAAUCCCAGCACGGCGAGGAUGCUCUGGGCGUGCACCAGGUUGGGGUUGCCGAGGUAGUCGAGGCCGCCGUCGGAGAAGAUCUGGGCGCCGGCCUUGAACCACACGGGCUCCUUGAAGUCGACGCGCACCCACUUCUCGAGCACCUCCGGCGUGAUGCAGCCCAGCGCGCCGAGCAUCGCCCACCGGCCGUGGAUCACCUCCAGCGCCCUGUUCCUCGCGAACGCCUCCGGGUCCGCGGAGAGCCCCGCCGUGUCCCACCCGUAG
rnacentral:misc_RNA from 1 species